rnacentral:rRNA from 1 species
AGUGAACGCUGGCGGUAGGCCUAACACAUGCAAGUCGAACGGCAGCACAGUAAGAGCUUGCUCUUACGGGUGGCGAGUGGCGGACGGGUGAGGAAUACAUCGGAAUCUACUUUUUCGUGGGGGAUAACGUAGGGAAACUUACGCUAAUACCGCAUACGACCUACGGGUGAAAGCAGGGGAUCUUCUGACCUUGCGCGAUUGAAUGAGCCGAUGUCGGAUUAGCUAGUUGGCGGGGUAAAGGCCCACCAAGGCGACGAUCCGUAGCUGGUCUGAGAGGAUGAUCAGCCACACUGGAACGGAACCACGUUCCAGACUCCUACGGGAGGCACCAGUGGGGAAUAUUGGACAAUGGGCGCAAGCAUGAUCCAGCCAUACCGCGUGGGUGAAGAAGGCCUUCGGGUUGUAAAGCCCUUUUGUUGGGAAAGAAAAGCAGCAGGUUAAUACCCCGCUGUUCUGACGGUACCCAAAGAAUAAGCACCGGCUAACUUCGUG